CGGGAGGCCCCGCUGGCUCCUUUGCUCGCGCCUCCAGUCGCGGCCGGGGCGGUGACUCCCGGCGCUGGUGCGAGAGGACAGAGGGGCCGAAGCGCCGAGAGGCAGCGCUGCUGCCGAACCUGUGCCGCGAGGGGGUCGGACCUCGGGGCCCCGCGCUGCCCGGCGGCGCCGCGGUUGGCGCUGCCGGCGGAGGCGGUGUCUGCGCGCGGCGCUCCGGGUCUGUUCUCUCCCGAGCUUUGGCACUCGCCCGAGCUGCUAGUGCGUCCGCCACUGUCUGCCUGCUCGGCUGUCUGCCCUCCCGCCGCCAGCCCUGUCUCCGGGCCCGGCCUCUCCUGUGCUCGGCUGCUCAGCGAGGCGACGAGGAGCGCGGCGGGGCC
rnacentral:lncRNA from 1 species